CCUACGGGCGGCAGCAGUGAGGAAUAUUGGUCAAUGGACGAGAGUCUGAACCAGCCAAGUAGCGUGAAGGAUGACUGCCCUAUGGGUUGUAAACUUCUUUUAUAGGGGAAUAAAAUGUGCCACGUGUGGGAUUUUGUAUGUACCAUAUGAAUAAGGAGCAGCUAACUCCGUGCCAGCAGCCGCGGUAAUACGGAGGUUCCGAGCGUUAUCCGGAUUUAUUGGGUUUACAGGGAGCGUAGAUGGGUUGUUUCGGCAGUUGUGAAAGUUUGCGGCUCAGCCGUAAAAUUGCAAUUGAUACUGGCAGUCUUGCGUACAGUUUAGGUAGGCUGAAUUCGUGUUGUCGCGG
rnacentral:rRNA from 1 species